UACGUAGGGACCAAGCGUUGUUCGGAUUUACUGGGCGUAAAGGGCGCGUAGGCGGCUUGUCAAGUCAGUUGUGAAAUCUCUGAGCUUAACUCAGAACGGCCAAGUGAAACUGACAUGCUAGAGUGCAGAAGGGGCAAUCGGAAUUCUUGGUGUAGCGGUGAAAUGCGUAGAUAUCAAGAGGAACACCUGAGGUGAAGGCGGGUUGCUGGGCUGACACUGACGCUGAGGCGCGAAAGCCAGGGGAGCAAACGGG
rnacentral:rRNA from 1 species